rnacentral:rRNA from 1 species
AGAGUUUGAUCCUGGCUCAGAACGAACGCUGGCGGCGUGGAUUAGGCAUGCAAGUCGAACGAGAAAGGAUCUUUCGGGGUCCGAGUAAAGUGGCAAACGGGUGAGUAACGCGUGGGAAACCUGCCCUUAUGUUGGGGAUAACACUUCUAACGAGGUGCUAAUACCGAAUACGAUCAUCCGGCCGCAUGGCCGGGUGAUGAAAGGCGGCCUCUGCUUGCAUGCUGUCGCAUGAGGAUGGUCCCGCGUCCCAUUAGCUUGUUGGUGAGGUAACGGCCCACCAAGGCGAUGAUGGGUAGCCGGCCUUAGCGGGUGUCCGGCCACACUGGGACUGAGAUACGGCCCAGACUCCUACGGGAGGCAGCAGUCGAGAGGCUUCCACAAUGGGGGAAACCCUGAUGGAGCGACGCCGCGUGGGUGAUGAAGGUCUUCGGAUCGUAAAGCCCUUUCAGCAGGGACGAUAGUAACCGGUGCUAAUACCAUCGGAUGCAAGACGGUACCUGCAGAAGAAGCUCCGGCUAACUCCGUGCCAGCAGCCGCGGUAAGACGGAGGGAGCAAGCGUUGUUCGGAUUUACUGGGCGUAAAGGGCGUCUAGGCGGGUCUGUCAGUCAGGUGUGAAAUCCCCCGGCUCAACCGGGGAGUUGCACUUGAUACUGCAGGUCUUGAGUACGGAAGAGGAAAGCGGAAUUCCUGGUGUAGCGGUGAAAUGCGUAGAUAUCAGGAAGAACACCGGUGGCGAAGGCGGCUUUCUGGUCCGAUACUGACGCUAAAGCGCGAAAGUGUGGGGAGCAAACAGGAUUAGAUACCCUGGUAGUCC